AUGGCCGCGUCCCCGUCGGGGCACGCCACCAAGACGGUCCGCGACCAUGAGAGCUGGAUGUACCUGACAGUCCCAGCCGUCUUGCAUCGUUUUCCCAUCACCUCUGCACCUGGAGAUGACUAUCUCACUGUGCAUAUCCGCACCCUGGGUGACUGGCCAUCUCAUCUCCGGAACUUGUUCACAGAGUAUAUUGGUGCGGGCCGUGCGGCUGAACCGUUGUUGCUUGAUGGAAACCGUGUUACUUCUAAGACUGAAAUCAGGCUUCCUGCAAUCUUUAUUGAUGGCCCGUAUAGUGCACCGGUGCAAAAUUACAAGCAAUACGACAUUCUUUUGCUCAUCGGUCUUGGGUCGGGUGUCACUACUUUCUUCAGCAUACUAAAAGACACCUUGAAUAAUAUCAAGUCCAGCGAUGUAAAUUUCCUCCACCGCAAAAGUGUAAUAGAGGUCCACAAUUAUCUCACCAGCGUGUAUGUAGAAGGCGAUGCAAGGUCGGCGUUUAUUGCCAUGGUUCAGUCACUCCAACAUGCCAAAUAUGGCGUGGAUAUCAUAUCUAGAACUAGAACCAAGACACAUUUUGCAAGACCUAACUGGAGAAGAGUUUUUUCUUCUUUGGCCGUUGCUCACAAGAACGCUCGCAUUGGUGUAUUCUAUUGUGAAUCUUCCACGCUCACGAAAGAACUCAAGGAUCUUUCGAAAGAAUUCAGCCAGACAUCCACAACUAGCAUGAGAAGCAGAGAACAUGCUAAUCGAUAUGCAGACAACAUGUUAGUCAGCCAUCUACUUUUGCAACUUGCUCCCCAACCUGACCUGGCGUAG
rnacentral:rRNA from 1 species